ensembl:lncRNA
CAUUCUCAAAUUUCUCUCCCAUCAGACAAGUCUGUAAGAAGUAGAACGGCAGACCGGAGCCGCUGGUAAAGCAAGACGUAAGCACCGGGUGAGCUUGGGUUGAAUCCAAACAUUCAUUCUACCAGAUCGUCUCUAGGCUUUCACUCGGACCUCGAAGGUGAAUCCAGAGGGAAGAGAGAAGACCGGUUUGCGUGUUAGUCUGCUACCUGUUGGGAGCCGUUGGAGGACAUUUGGCAGACAUCUUGUUUUGGGAAGAUCCUAUCAACCUCUGUCAGAUUGGAUGGGGAGCAUCGCUGCACAGCUAUUUUCAGGUCUUUCCAGAGAUGUUCGAUCGGGUUCAAGUCCUGGCUCUGGCUGGGCCACUCAAGGACAUUCAAAGACUUGUCCUGAAGCCAACCUGCGUUGUCUUGGCUGUGUGCUU